rnacentral:rRNA from 1 species
GUGGGGAAUUUUGGACAAUGGGGGCAACCCUGAUCCAGCAAUGCCGCGUGCAGGAAGAAGGCCUUCGGGUUGUAAACUGCUUUUGUACGGAACAAAAAGGCUCUGGUUAAUACCUGGGGCACAUGACGGUACCGUAAGAAUAAGCACCGGCUAACUACGUGCCAGCAGCCGCGGUAAUACGUAGGGUGCAAGCGUUAAUCGGAAUUACUGGGCGUAAAGCGUGCGCAGGCGGUGCUGUAAGACAGGCGUGAAAUCCCCGGGCUUAACCUGGGAAUGGCGCUUGUGACUGCAGUGCUGGAGUGUGGCAGAGGGGGAUGGAAUUCCGCGUGUAGCAGUGAAAUGCGUAGAUAUGCGGAGGAACACCGAUGGCGAAGGCAAUCCCCUGGGCCUGCACUGACGCUCAUGCACGAAAGCGUGGGGAGCAAACAGGAUUAGAAACCCCUGUAGUCC